GGAUGGAGGAGAGUAUAAAAGGAGGAUGGUUAACGUUCGAUUCGAUCGCGGAUAAACGGAUCGAGUGUAACGCGUAAGCAGAGAGUCGAGACGGUAGUAGGCCCGAGAUAAAUUUACGAAAGGACCGGUGUACGCGAGCAAAGUCGGGCCAACCUUAAUUCGAUUCCGUGCCAGAGAAAAAUUAACUUCUCUGCACUGCGCGAGGAGAAUUUU